UACGUAGGGUGCAAGCGUUGUCCGGAAUUAUUGGGCGUAAAGAGCUCGUAGGCGGUGUGUCGCGUCGGCCGUGAAAACCUGCAGCUUAACUGUGGGCUUGCGGUCGAUACGGGGCAUCACUGGAGUUCGGCAGGGGGAGACUGGAAUUCCUGGUGUAGCGGUGAAAUGCGCAGAUAUCAGGAGGAACACCGGUGGCGAAGGCGGGUCUCUGGGCCGAUACUGACGCUGAGGAGCGAAAGCGUGGGGAGCGAACGG
rnacentral:rRNA from 1 species